GACGAACGCUGGCGGCGUGCUUAACACAUGCAAGUCGAACGAUGAAGCUAGAGCUUGCUCUGGUGGAUUAGUGGCGAACGGGUGAGUAACACGUGAGUAACCUGCCCCGAACUCUGGGAUAACUGCUGGAAACGGUAGCUAAUACUGGAUACGACCAACGAAGGCAUCUUCUGUUGGUGGAAAGAAUUUCGGUUCGGGAUGGACUCGCGGCCUAUCAGCUUGUUGGUGAGGUAACGGCUCACCAAGGCGACGACGGGUAGCCGGCCUGAGAGGGCGAUCGGCCACACUGGGACUGAGACACAGCCCAGACUCCUACUGGAGGCAGCAGUGGGGAAUAUUGUACAAUGGGCGCAAGCCUGAUGCAGCAACGCCGCGUGAGGGACGACGGCCUUCGGGUUGCAAACCUCUUUUAGUAGGGAAGAAGCGAAAGUGACGGUACCUGCAGAAAAAGCACCGGCUAACUACGUGCCAGCAGCCGCCGUAA
rnacentral:rRNA from 1 species